AUGUGUGAGAUAAAGGAGUUCAGCCUUCCAGCCCAACUGGGCCUCUCAUCGGCCCAACCUCCCCUUAGCCCCGCUGGCCUCUUGAGCCUGACUCCCAGGCCGGCCCAACAUCUCCUAGCCAGGCCUGCCCGUUUCCCACCAAACCCUAGGCCCGACCAACUCCCUCUCGAUCUCUCCCUCUGCCCGCCGCCACCACGCUCGAUCACCUCGUGCUUCUCUCUUCCCCUUGCUCCCGCACGCAUCGCCAAGGAGAGCCGUUCCCCAGCACGCGCGAGCCCCACGCCCCCGCCUCCUUCUCCCACCAGCGCCGCCGUCCUUCUCCUCCACCGCCAGCCGUCCGCUCUAUCCCGCCGUUCGCCGGAGCCCUUCCUCCGCCUCUGCUCCGGCCUCCUACGACAGCCGCGCCGGCGCCCCAAGCUCUCCUCUCCGUCUUGCCUUCCUCCAUCGACCUCGCGCCCGUCUCCUCGACCGGACGGCCACCUCGCCGGUGACCAAUCGCCCCGCCACCAAGCAGUCGCGCGCCCCUGCUCCCUUUCUCCUCCUCGCCGUUGGUUCUGCCCGUGCCGGAGCAUGCGAGCAGCUGUAGCUCGACCCAGCGACCUUCACCGCCGCCCCGACAUCUCCAGCGCCGCCGCACCCCUCUGCUACCCCGUCCCCGUAGCGCUAUGCUUCUCCACCGGAGCUCUUCUCCCGUCCGUCGUCGCUGUCCAAGAUCAGCAGGUCACCACAGGCGCCAACCUCCGCUUUCUCCCUGGUCAACUUGAUGCCAGGGCCGACCCCAAGGUCUCCUCUGCCAUCGUCAUCAGCCGCAGCUGCAGGUCCGGCAGAACCGUGCCUACCAUGGCCCUCCUCGCGCCGCCUUACUGCAGUGCACCAGCUCGGACCCCCACCUUCGAACUGAGGCCUUUGUGGCACUUCUUUUGA
rnacentral:rRNA from 1 species